AUUCAUGAAACUUUAAAACUGGAAGAGAUCUUGGCAAUCUUCUAUCAGGAGUUAACAAGCUCAUAUGGAUCUCUACAGUGGACUUGCUAAAGAACUCUCAUGGAAAUUGAAUAAUCUGGCCACAGUGGGAGGAAGCAACAUUUCUGGAGAAUUUAUUGAGAAUCUUGAUUGAGGACCAUAUGGAGAGGAGCUAACAGAUGUGUCUUGGUAGUGCAAGGGAUCUCCACUGCACAUAAAGGUGUCAGGAGUCCAUCAGGGGUUCAUGAUAAAUAAAUUUGGAAAGAUUCAGCAUUAGAAGAAAACCCACCAGGUGGAAGAAUAUUUUCAAGCCUCAAACAACUCAUGAAAUCUCUCUACUAAGCUGUAGAAGGCUCUGAUCUAUACAGAUGGAGGAGUCCCAACAUGAAAAUAUUUCAGUGAUUUCUGUGAUAUUAUGAAAUAACAACUUGCACCUUGUUUCUUCUGGGAGGUGACAGGUGAGCUGUACCCUUCCCUCACUGAGUGUUAAAGCAAGCCCUGGCUGAAAAUGGAAUGAAGCUUGCAUUACAAAACAAGCAAAACAGAAGGAUUUCCUCUAUCGCCCUUCAAAAAGUUUCCAACAUUCUUGGCCGCCUCUUAAUCUGAAGUACCCUUACAAAGGGAAAGCUACCUUGCCUGGGGCAAGAGAAAUCCUGCUUCACUGAGUUGAAUAUUGGGAUCACGUAAGGAAACUACUGAGGUGAUUCAUCAGAGCCUGAUCUUUCUGUUUCCCUUAAACCUCCUGGAGAGAA